AGGACGAACGCUGGCGGCGUGCCUAACACAUGCAAGUCGUAACGGAGUUGAGAGAGCUUGCUUUUUCAACUUAGUGGCGGACGGGUGAGUAACGCGUGAGGAACCUGCCUUUCAGAGGGGGACAACGAGUUGGAAACGACUGCUAAUACCGCAUAAUGUACGAGAGCGGCAUCGCUCAUGUACCAAAGAUUUAUCGCUGAAAGAUGGCCUCGCGUCUGAUUAGAUAGUUGGUGAGGUAACGGCCCACCAAGUCGACGAUCAGUAGCCGGACUGAGAGGUUGAUCGGCCACAUUGGGACUGAGACACGGCCCAGACUCCUACGGGAGGCAGCAGUGGGGAUAUUGCACAAUGGGCGAAAGCCUGAUGCAGCGACGCCGCGUGAGGGAAGAAGGUCUUCGGAUUGUAAACCUCUGUUUUCGGGGACGAUAAUGACGGUACCCGAGGAGGAAGCCACGGCUAACUACGUGCC
rnacentral:rRNA from 1 species